rnacentral:lncRNA from 1 species
GUUCUGAAAUUCUGACCUGUACGCGUCAGUUUUUGUUUUCGUAUUUUUCCAUCGAAUCCGUCAAACCAAAACUUAUUUUGAAUUUGCCGCCGAUCUACUUCAAAUGCGAUCACGUGGUUUUUUGCGAGAGUUCACGUGAUUGAGUGUUGUUGUUUUGGAAGUGUCACGAAAGAGAAGUCAUUGAGUACUUUAUUGAUUAUUUACGUUUUUUAGUGAAAAUCUAGGUCAUUGUGGGCAUUUUCAGAAGGGUAAUACAUAUAUCCUCCGUAUUUUCAUGGCGAUUUUUAUAUUUUUUGCGUAUUAAGGGGUUUCAUGCCAGUGAUUUUUUCACUGUUUGAUGAAGGCGCGUGACCUGUAAAUACGGGCGCGUGGUCUGUGAGAUGACCUGGUGUUUGCCAAUUCUGACUUGUUCACGUCAGAAAUUGUUGUUAUUGUAAUGAAUUGUUAUUUUCGGGAGAUAACUCUUGUUGUCUUAAACAGGAUUUACCUUAUUUUCCUAUUUGAAAAGUAAACUACUACUUCGAGCAAACGUUCUGACCAUCAUUACGUAAUUUCAGACACACAUUGAUUACGUAGUAUUUCUAUUUUUAAACUAAAUCAUGAAUUGAUUUUUUUU